rnacentral:rRNA from 1 species
UAGGGAAUCUUCGGCAAUGGACGAAAGUCUGACCGAGCAACGCCGCGUGAGUGAAGAAGGUUUUCGGAGCGUAAAACUCUGUUGUUAGAGAAGAACAAGGACGUUAGUAACUGAACGUCCCCUGACGGUAUCUAACCAGAAAGCCACGGCUAACUACGUGCCAGCAGCCGCGGUAAUACGUAGGUGGCAAGCGUUGUCCGGAUUUAUUGGGCGUAAAGCGAGCGCAGGCGGUUUCUUAAGUCUGAUGUGAAAGCCCCCGGCUCAACCGGGGAGGGUCAUUGGAAACUGGGAGACUUGAGUGCAGAAGAGGGGGGUGGAAUUCCAUGUGUAGCGGUGAAAUGCGUAAAUAUAUGGAGGAACACCAGUGGCGAAGGCGGCUCUCUGGUCUGUAACUGACGCUGAGGCUCGAAAGCGUGGGGAGCAAACAGG